GGGGUAUAGCUCAGCUGGGAGAGCAUCUGCCUUACAAGCAGAGGGUCAUAGGUUCGAGUCCUAUUGUCCCC
rnacentral:tRNA from 1 species